rnacentral:rRNA from 1 species
UACGUAGGGGGCAAGCGUUGUCCGGAUUUAUUGGGCGUAAACGGCUUGUAGGUGGCCACGCCAAGUCGGAUGUGAAAUCUCCCGGCUCAACUGGGAGGGGUCAUUCGAUACUGGCGGGCUCGAGGCCGGUAGGGGGAAGUGGAAUUCCAGGUGUAGCGGUGAAAUGCGUAGAUAUCUGGAGGAAUACCGGUGGCGAAGGCGGCAUCCUGGACCGGCAUUGACGCUGAGUGAGCGAAAGCCAGGGGAGCAAACGGG